rnacentral:rRNA from 1 species
AAUCUUGGACAAUGGGGGCAACCCUGAUCCAGCCAUGCCGCGUGAGUGAUGAAGGCCUUAGGGUCGUAAAGCUCUUUUGCCUGUGAUGAUAAUGACAGUAGCAGGUAAAGAAACCCCGGCUAACUCCGUGCCAGCAGCCGCGGUAAUACGGAGGGGGUUAGCGUUGUUCGGAAUUACUGGGCGUAAAGCGCGCGUAGGCGGAUUAGUCAGUUAGAGGUGAAAUCCCAGGGCUCAACCCUGGAACUGCCUUUAAUACUGCUAGUCUUGAGUUCGAGAGAGGUGAGUGGAAUUCCGAGUGUAGAGGUGAAAUUCGUAGAUAUUCGGAGGAACGCCAGUGGCGAAGGCGGCUCACUGGCUCGAUACUGACGCUGAGGUGCGAAAGUGUGGGGAGCAAACAGGAUUAGAUACCCUGGUAG